GAGUUUGAUCCUGGCUCAGGAUGAACGCUGGCGGCGUGCUUAACACAUGCAAGUCGAACGAAGCACUUGAGAUUGAAUCUUCGGAUGAGAACUCUUGUGACUGAGUGGCGGACGGGUGAGUAACGCGUGGGUAACCUACCUCAUACAGGGGGAUAACAGUUGGAAACGACCGCUAAUACCGCAUAACCCGCUAGUAUCGCAUGAUACGGACGGAAAAGAUUUAUCGGUGUGAGAUGGACCCGCGUCUGAUUAGCCAGUUGGCAGGGUAACGGCCUACCAAAGCAACGAUCAGUAGCCGGCCUGAGAGGGUGAACGGCCACAUUGGGACUGAGACACGGCCCAAACUCCUACGGGAGGCAGCAGUGGGGAAUAUUGCACAAUGGGGGAAACCCUGAUGCAGCGACGCCGCGUGAGUGAGGAAGUAUUUCGGUAUGUAAAGCUCUAUCAGCAGGGAAGAAAAUGACGGUACCUGACUAAGAAGCCCCGGCUAACUACGUGCCAGCAGCCGCGGUGAUACGUAGGGGGCAAGCGUUAU
rnacentral:rRNA from 1 species